CGCAUGUCCUAUACAUGAUAUCUAUUGCCCAAAUAGGUAAAUAAAUUCAUAUAAGCAUGUUUUCUACCCAUUACUUAAACUAAACAUGCAUAACCCCCUCCUAUAUUCACUAUUCAACCCCAAUCAUUUGUUAAAAAAUUAUUACAAACCAAGGAUAGCCGAAUUACAGUAAUAAAGAAUUAAAAAAGAAAUUAUUCUAUAGGGAGCCUUUAGUCAGGCCUAAUCUUCCAACCUCACUCCUUUCAAGUUUCACAGCCUUUGCCAUGGUCUGGGUGCGACAAUGCUCCCUAAAUCCCCCUUCGGUCCCUAGCCAAUAUCAGUAUUCAAACACUUACCAAACAUGUUGAAUAAGUGCAGUCUGGAAUUACCAGUCUUGCGCAUCAAAGUUCAGUGAGUACUCAGAGGUACCCAAAGAAAUGCUUACACGAAGAGGGUAGAACCUAAUCUAUAAGAGUAGUGAAAGUGUGUGAUAUUGUUUUAAAGAAUUUGAGUUGAUAUAAACAGUUUGAAAAUGAUCCAUAUAGAAUCAGUUCUUGAAAGAAAACAGUAGAAGAGUGUGACAGUUUUGUAAGAAGGUGAGUAGGACAAUCUCAAAACUAGAAUAUCACACAUAGUUCAGGAAAGCAAACACAAACAGGGGAACGGGGAAAUUGGACAAGUAGUUCACAUGUAAGAGGUGAGUAAGACAAUCUCAGAACUACAAUAUCACACAUAGCUCAGCGAAGAAAACACAAACAGAGGAAAGGGGAAAUGGGACAAGUAGUUUACAUGUAAGAGCAUAGUUGCACAUACAUAGACAUCAGAGAAGGCAUUUCAGGACUUAAACAGUCAUAACACAUUUCAUCCAAAAAUAUUCAUGGAAGAGGUUCAGGAUUACUUGGUAGCUAGAAAGGGUCAUGAAUACAUGCUGAUAAUGUACUGGGGUUAGGGAGUAAGAAAGAACUAUAUUAAACAAGUAAGAGAAGUAGUAGGCAUGCUGAAUUAAGGGAAAGGUAAUCACAUCAAUGAACUAACAAAGUAAGGAUGAACUGCAUUAAACAAGUAAGAGAAGCAGUAGACAUGCUAAAUUAAGGGAAGGGUAAUCACAUCAAUGAACUAGCAAAGAGGCACACUAAUUGCAAUGUAAACAAAAAAACCAAAAGUAUAAGCAUAAAAGAAAUAAGAGAAAGUGCAAUAUGCAUAAAAACAUGUUGUUUGGAGGUUGCAAAUCAAAUAGAAGACAUACCAGUCAAGAGUAAGAUAAUAGAGCGGUAGUGUGCAGUGAAGUAAAGCAGUAAUGUGUAGACCAAGAGGGAAGCAAUGUAUAGAGCGAUAAAAUAGUAGAGUAACAAAUAAUUCAGUCUUGGCUUUUAGCCAACUGGGUAACAAGUAGUCAAGAAGAGAAGAGAGAGAAAAUGUGCAGGAAAGUAAGAGAGAACAGUGGGUCUGCUUGUGUGUGUGUAAGAGAGAGUUCAGAACAUUGUAAUUGUUCAUCUCAUGCAAAAGAGAGGGUAGACUAUUUAUACUUUUGAAAACUAGUAGAGAAUAGGGUAACAAGUACUAACAUGACACAAUUAUAAAAACAAUACCAAUUGGAAUCAAUUACAGGACCAAACUCGUUUUAAUUAGGGAGUCAUGAUUCAAAUGGGUACAAGUUAUAUCAGAUAAAGCAAAGAAUCACUUAGACUACUGAAUCAACCAUAAUAGGAGUCGCAUAGCAUGUAGCAUUUUCUAUAAGGGCCAAAUACAUAACAUUUCAAAUAAGGAAAAUAUAUACUGGAUAUUUAAAAGUAUGUUUAUGCGCAUAAAUAUGUUAAAAAUAUAAAUUAACUCUGAAAAUU
rnacentral:lncRNA from 1 species